rnacentral:rRNA from 1 species
UACGGGGGGGGCAAGCGUUGUUCGGAUUUACUGGGCGUAAAGGGCGCGUAGGCGGCGCAACAAGUCACUUGUGAAAUCUCCGGGCUUAACCCGGAGCGGUCAAGUGAUACUGUCGUGCUAGAGUGCGGAAGGGGCUGACUGGAAUUCUCGGUGUAGCGGUGAAAUGACGUAGAUAUCGAGAGGAACACCUGCGGCGAAGGCGGGUAGCUGGGCCGACACUGACGCUGAUGCGCGAAAGCCAGGGAGCGAACGGGAUUAGAAACCCGUUG